rnacentral:miRNA from 1 species
ACUCUCAUCGACCGAGAGUGAUUCCUCUCGGCUGGUGAGAGUGUACACUCUCACCGGCCAAGAGGAAUCCCUCUCGGUCGAUGAGAGU